UGAUGAAUGGUAAACUUUGCAUCAUGGAUAGUCAUGCAUUUUCCCACGAGUGAAUCUAUGAAAAUUCUGUGAGAAUUUGAGGUUCAAUGGCAUGAUGGUGACUCCACCCACUUCCAACAACUUACUAUGGAAAACUUGAAGUAGGAUUGGUGAGAUGGCCAGCAGAUCUCAGCUGCAGAUGCCUUGUUGUGGCUCUGGUGUCUGCCAUUCUUCACUUCCUAGCAGCUUCUGGAGCUUUUGAAACCAUUCAGACUGCCUACUUUGCCUGUGUCUCAGGGUGCAGGAGCAGCAGAGAUCUGUUCUGCAGCUGAGGGAGUGUCUGGAUUGAUGUGUGAUUCCCAGAGAAGUCUCCCUUUGCACCACUGAAAAAGAGUCAAGGAAGAAGUCAGUCCCUGGCUUGGAGCUGGAGGCAAGGCCAGGAAUUCUGAAGGACUGUGAAUCAGGGCAGUUAAUGACCUGUCCCCAUCAACAGGUGAUAUCUUCAUCCGGGUAUCCUGGGUUCAGGCAUUUCAGAAGUCAGGACUCUGCAGCAGACAGAGUGUCUGGCCGGAAGAUAUCUAUCCAAGGGCCCUCUCCAUUUCCACCACUGGAAAAGAGUCAAGGAAGGAGUCAGUGCCUGGCAUCACCAUGGCAACCACAAGAACCUACCAGGUGAUGGUAGGGUUGGAGGGAGAAUGAUGUCGUAAACAGGGCAGCAGCCAAUGGGAAGUUGGAUUCUGAGCUAGCAGAUGGAAUUGGUUGGAGAGAAUUCCAGGAAACCAUCAGGAGCCAUGGAGGCAGAGGCAUGGAUCUUGUGGCAAUGACAGGAAUUCUGAAAGUUGUGGAUGGGGGCAAUUAAUGACUUGCCACCAUCAACAGGUGGUGUCCUCAUCUGGUAAUCCAGUUGCAGGAGUACAGAGUUCUGCUCUGCAGCAAACAAAGUAUCUGGCUUGAUGUGUGAUUCCCAGGGAAGUCUCCCUUUGCACCACUGAAAAAGAGUCAAGGAAAAAGUCAGUCCAUGGUAAGUGGGAUGUCCCCUCCUCUCAGUGCACCUCUGCACUUAGGCCCCUACAACAGCUGGGUGACAUUCUUUGGAUCUCUGCUUUAGCUGCAGAUAUUCAGAAACAUCAGUCUGAGUUUAGUUCCAGUUGUAAACACAUUCAGUUAAGUCUCUUGGGAUUAUGAGUAGGUGCCAAAAAUGCACCUUAACUUUAUACAUGGCCUCUUCAUCCAAUCAUGCUGGCAAACUUGGAAGUCCACAUAGACAGAAAGAGACUUGAUUCCAUUUAGUUUGUGCGAGCAUUCCUUUAGUCUCAGCACUCUUGAGGCAGCGCCACGGCCAGGGUCAUGGCCAAGGCAAUUGGAGAGGCAGAAACAGAGUCAUAAGCAGAAGCAGAGAUAUUGGCAGAGGUAGAGGCAGGCUGAUGUUUGUGAGUUCAAGGCUAGUCUGAUCAACAUAGUUAGUUCCUGAACGUGCAGAGUUAUGGAGAGAGAACCUGUCUCAAGAAACUAAAAGCAAAUUAACAAGUCAAUGAGUUAUAUUUCCUAUGUGUCACCCUCUCAAAGAAGUGCCAAGUGCCUCAGAGGCAAUAGUGUGAGUAACCCUGAUAAUAUCAGAGCACAGAGUAUGCGAAAGUGUUGAAUGAUCAGAGAUAAUCCAGGAUGGAGCAACACACCAGCCACUCAAGAAAUCCUGGCUGUAGUUGACAGAUGGUCUCUCAGGGAUGUAAAGCAUUUGUUGCUAGAAAAAAAGAAACAGUUAAUCGAGAGGGGGUCCUAGAGAACAGGAGGACAUCUUUGCUAUUGCUACCCCUGUGAGAAGAUUAAUAUUUAGAUUAUUUAGAAUUAGAUACAUAAAUCUUAAGAAGGACAGCAACCCAGGUAGUAAAGUGCAAAGAGAAAGACAGUCCUCCCCUAUUUCAUAAAAAGGAGAGCUUGGACAUACAAAGGUUCAGAUGGAGGAGGAAUCAGGGAAAUGCAUAGUGACCCUCCUAGAUGCCAUCCAAGGCCAACUAGAAAAGAAAUGACAGCCACCACUGAGAGAGUUCACAGAAAGGAAUGCUAUACAAUGCUGAAGAUGGAAAGAUUUCCAGCCUGAUUGGAUGUCAGUGUGGAGGAUCCUCCAAAAGCCUAAACCUGGCCCACCACAUGGUUCAUAUAUGCCUUUCCAAAGAACUCAAUAUAUUAGAGAGGUACUUGCCCAUCAGUGUUGACUGCAGCACCGUUUCAAGAAUAUUAGGGAACCAAGCAUGUUGUCCAAGAGCAUUGCCAUAGGUGAAGAAAAUGGGAUGUUCGUAGAACGUGAAGUCUUUUCAGCCAUAGAGAAAAUGAAGUCAUGUUGUUUGCAGUAUAUGGAUUCAACUGAGGCUCAUGAGAUGGCUCAGUAGAUAAGAACACUUGGUUGUCUUGCAGAGUCCCCAGGCUUGCCUCAUGGUGGCUUUCAGUCUCUCUUAAUUCCAGACCUUAGAGGUCUGAUGCCCUCUUCUGGCCUCUGUGGGCACCUCACAUAUGUGUUCCACAGGAAUUCGGGUGGACAACACACAAACACACACACAUACACAAAAUGAAUUAAAGUAUUAAAUGGAUAAUUUCAAAGAUGGAUACAACUUAAGAUAAAAAUAGUAAUCAAAUGAAAUCAAUCUCAGGAAGAUAGUCUACAUAGUUAUUUUCUCUUUAAGUUGGGUGCUUGACAGUGUAUACAUGGAAUCCUGUAUCUCAUCAUGAAAUUCCUGGAGGUGCUCAGUCCCAGACCAAUAGUGAUUAAAGGGCUGGAGUGAGUGUUUCCCAAUGGGAUUAAGUGUGGCAAGAGCAGGUAUAUGUUCACUAUACAGUAUACACUAUAGGAAACAUACCAAACCAGUAGAGUGAAAAAUAAAAGUCAAGGAGAAUAAUUUUAAUUCCACUAAAGAUUUUGGCUAGAUACUUUCAUCUUAAAUAAACACUAUCACUGACUUACAGCAUAUGAUGUAUUUAUGGAAAACAUUUCCACUUUGGGAACAUAAAUUUAAAAAGCUAAGGUAUGAAGAAACCAUCAAAUCACUCUAUAUAUAAUUAUUCACGGGUAAAAUAUAACUGACUUUAGCUUCUCCGGUCACUUUUAGUGUCUUCAAAUACUUAUAAGUAUAGAACCUUGUCUGACCAUUUAUAUAUAAAUCCUGGGAUGUACAUAUUAAUCUCCUUAACUCCAUAUGUACCUACAUAUGUACAUGUACAUCCAAGUCUUUAAAUUCAAUAUGUACUUGUAUAUCUGUGACUAUAUCUAACCUUGUCUAUGUUGAAUAGUACUGUGUUCCAAAGUCAAGGCCAGCUCUUACAUGACAUAGCCAAAAUAUAUAGAAAUUUCCAUAUCCUUCUGCCUCUGAAGGAAGAGCUGUGGUUUUCCCAGAGAGGUGAACUUGGCAGCAUUCUCUCUCUCUGGUUGAGCCUGCCUCUUCAUGGCCUCCCUCUCUGGUCUCUGCUCUUCUGUGAUGGGCUGUGAGAUGACUGGCCCUGGAAUGUCAACUUUCCUCCAUGGAAUUGGUUGGUGGCUGAAGUCUUGCAGCAGAUUUUGGAUUUGAGGUUUGUGAGGUGAUGGGGUCUUGUUCUUGUUAGAAGAGUCAAGCUCCCUCUGUAAUGAAGUGUGAGAUGAUGCCCUGUAGGGUCCAGGCCUAGAGGCAGCUCGCUGAGGCCCAGGGCAAGACUGGAUGGGGUUGGUUAUGUUAGCUUGUGUGGCACUGGUAGCAAUAGGCAGAGCUGGCUUGUCAGAGGCCAUCAAAGAAGUGCUGGCAGGAGCUGGUUUAGAUGGCUUGAGUGUGGUAGGCUGAGCCGAGUGGGAAUGAGGCCUCACAGGGUAUACUGCAGGGGGCCUGCGUGAAGCCAGGGAGAGAGGCUUUCUAGAAACCAGUCUGGCUUGCGGCUUGUCCAGGGCUGGAAAAGGCAGAGGUACUAACUUGACCUUCCCAGGUAGGGGCAGCUCAUACUGGGAUGGAGAUGGACACUCCCUGUGAGCAUUGUUCCCUGGUCUCUGAGCAUUGCCCAGGGUUUUACCAGGGCCUCGGUCAUCACAUGGCACAUCCAGAAGGGAUGAGGUGGCUGGGCCUGUCCUGGGAUCUUUGUUGUUGCUGAGGUUCAGCCGAGCCUGGGAGGAGGAGAUGCCAGUUUUCUUCUCACUCUUCUUCCCCAGUGGGUGAAAGACUUGCACGGAUUCUAGCAUGUGCAUGCCGAGAUGAGUUCGAGGCUUUUUAAAGCUGUCAUGGCAGAGCUCAGGUGGAUUCCUCUUCCUCUGGUUCUUUGGCUUGGUGGUGUUUACUUCUGCUUUGACUCUGUUCCUUGACUAUUUAAGCUCCUCUGUUUUCGUGGAGUUGUUUUUUCUGGUUCUCUUGGUCUUGUCUUGCCCCUCAGCCCUAGCUCUGCUGGGCAUCCUGGGUGUGGCUUUCUGGGCUUUGCCCUCCAUGUGCUUGGGCAUGUUGUCAAUAGCCCCUUCACUGGACCCAGCACUGCCCACAGCCUCUUCUCCCUCCACCAGGUCCUUGAAUGGAUUCUGGCCUGAGAAGUUCGAUCAAGCAUCUCCAAGACUUUCUGGCCAUUCUUUUUCACGUGGUCCAAUUGCACACUGAUGAUGCUUUCCUGACCCUGAUCCCUCAUGAUGUCUUUGGAUUGGGUUGCUGUGGGAUCUUGGAAUUGGUUCAUUCCAGUGAGGGAGUUGAAGAGUAGAGGAAGGUGAAUAUCUGCCACCCAUGUAGUCAUGUCUGCAAAGUCCAUGCUGGAGCCCAUCACAAUCUGCAGCACCCCAGGCUCAUCCUGACCAAUGCUGCUGCUUCCCAAGGUGGCAUUGUCAGGAGAAAGCUUCUGUUUUAGGCUCCCUGAAUCAGUGGAGUUCAGGGCCUGCUGCAUGUUGGCAUGUGCUAAAGGGAGAAGUGAUGGAUCUUGGCUUUCUAUUAUGCCCUCAUAGGCAUCCAGAGGAGUUGACAGAUCAGCUGUCAUCAAAUCCAAGUCAUUAUUCUCUGUUUGUUCCAAGCUCAGAGCAGGAGGCAAGGGCAGGAAUUCCAAAAAACUGUCAAUGGGGGCAGUUAAUAACCAGUCCCCAUGGACAGGUGGUGUCUUCUGGACAUCCUGGGUGCAGGCAUUGCAGAGGUCUGGACUCUGCAGCAGACAGAGUGUCUGGCCUGAAGCUGUCAAUCCCAGGGUUGUCUCCAUUUUCACCACUGAAAAAGAGUCAAGGAAGAAGUCAGUGCCUGGUAAGUGAGGUGCUCCUCACUUUUCAGUGCACCUCAGUACUCAGACGCCCUACAACAGUGGGGAAGGCUUUCCUAUGAGCUCUGCUUGAGUAGCACAGGGAGCACCUCUAUUGGGAGACUUGUGACCACUGUCUUAUUUCUGGUAACCAUGUGAUAUCAUGUUUUCUCAGAUGUUUGUGUUUUCCUCGGUGUUUGUGUGUUGUGUGCAUGUAUAGUGAUCAUAGGGAGGUGACAGAAUUCCCUUGGGGUGUGGUCCUCCCUUGCCUUCCCCAUGUCUCUGUAAGAGUGACCUUGAUUUCCGUCGAAGUUUGCUAUCAGGCAGGUUGUCUGGUCCACAAUUUUCAAGAACUUACCCUUGUCUUCCAAUUCUUGGCAUUACUCAAAUGCCCCCAGUUGCCUGACUUUCUAAAUGGGUUCAGGUAACCAAACCCAGUUCCUCACUCCUGCAAGGCAAUCAUUUCUACAACCAUGUAUUUCCUCCAUCUCCACAUUUCACAGUCUUGUUAUUAAUGAUGUGAAAAUUGGUUUAAGAAGGUGAAAUUUUUAGCUUGUGUUAUGUUUGUAGUUUAGAACAUAUCCUAGUGAUCAUGCUUGGCUCACUUCAGAAUAACCAUAGCAAAGAAAAGGAUAAAGAGAGGGAGAUGGAGAGGAGGAGAGAGAGAGAGAGAGAGAGAGAGAGAGAGAGAGAGAGAGAGGAGAGGAGAGAGAGAGAGAGAGAGAGAGAGAGAGAGAGAGAGAGAGAGAGAGAGAGAGAGAGAAGCUUUGCCCAACUUAGCAGUUUCACACUGGUACACUGUUUAUACUGGACUCUCAAUGCACUUAUGCUUGGAAGAGUACGGCAGGGCCAGCACUUGGAAUCUGUGAGCAAUACUUCUUCUAGGACAGAUUUGGAGUUGCACUGCUCUAGAGUCAGAAUUGAACCCAGAGAAAAUAAAGUGUUCCCAAACAGAAAGGCCUUGGUGUCCUCUACAGCCCCAAGGAAUAGAUUAGGAAGGAGGUGAUUGCCGUGUAACAGUGCAUGGGACUGAUAAGCUAGGUAAUUGAUGUGUGUGUCUGUGGUGGUGUCCUUGGACAUGUCUUAGUGGAGGAUGGGUGCCACUCAUUGUCCUGCAUUGUCAGUCAUUAUAGAGACUGAAGAUGGGGAUGGUGAGCCAGGCCAAGGCUGAGCUCUCAGGACUCCCAUCCUUUCUCCCUGAGGACAUCCACUGCUGAAAGGUCGAGCUGUGUCUGCUUUGUGUGCUGAUCUCAGUCCUCCCCUCCUGGCUUUACUCACCUUGAAGACUGGUGUCUGGCAUGUCUUGAGCAGGUGUGGGAUAGUAGAUGGCAGAGGUGAUGAAGGGUGUUUGGACAUUCAUUGGCUGAAUCUCCUUUGGCAUCAUCACCAUCCCUCGUUGCAGGGCAGAUGCCUGACCCGCAGAGUAGGACACAGAGCAACAGGCCUGUAGGCACUGCCUGAGUUCUCCAGCCAUCAGAGGGCCCAGGCUGUUGACGUCAUUGUAAUAGACCUGGCUGCCCUCCUGGUAGGAAGGUGCCAGGCUGUAUCCUUGAUUUGGCACCUGUGGUGGUGUGGCCUGAACAAGGCUGGCAGAUAGUAUUGGAUACGAGAGGACUAAGGAAUUGGGAUCUAAAAUAUUGUCACCCUGGGCUGUCAUAGACAAGGAGGAGAAUGUGGUAUUCUGGUCAAUGACAGUUACAGUGAAGUCCUGGAGUGCAGCUCCCCUCCUGUCAGUGCUUCCCAUGGGAUCCCACUGGAGAACACCUAAAUAGGAGAGUGCUGAGGCAGAACUCUGGCCCUGGUCAGUCAGCGCAUGGUUGUGCCAACUGGUAAGUAGGGGUAAGCACUGUCCAUGAGCUGCUGGGAACAAGUGCUGGAGUCUGAUGGCAGGAGCCAUGCUGAACUCAGAGCUGGGGUGGAGACCCUGGAGAAGUUGCACACACUUCCUGCUAAGGGCGUGGCAUUCCUCAGCACAGGUGCUGAAGGCUGCAAGGCACAUUCUGUCCCAAAGAAAGGUGCACUUUGGAAAUUUUCUGUAAGAAAGAAGAGGAAAGUGGGAAGAACAGUGAGAUGGAAUCUGUGUGGCUUCCCAUGAGGAGCUUUGUUUUCUGUAGUUUGUCCUGUCUGGGAGAGUGAGACCUAUUUUCCCUCACACAUCCCAAACAAAUGGUUCAGAAUGAUUCUUGGUAACGGAUAGGAUGACACUCAUUUGAUGAGCUGCCUGUUCUUCCUGUGUGGGCAUGCACUUCCUAGUUGAUCUACGUUGACCCUUGCUCUGACUAGACAACACCCUUCUUUGCCCUGCUUUGUGUUGUUCUCAUACCUGCUGUGGCACUCUCUCACACCUGUGUCCCAGAACAGAAGUGUCUAAAGUAGGAGAACCUUAGACAGCUUCUCAUGCCUGUGCCUUUGUCCUGUUCUGUGCAGAGAUUCCUCUAUGCAGAGAGAGAUAUUCUCUACCUAGAUCAAUCUGGCCUUGAAAUCACACAGACUGGUUGCCUCUACAUCAGAGUGCUGAUGUUGUAGGUUCUUUCAUGUCUACCAGGUUUGGCUCUACUCUGAGCUUUCUUAAUGAAAUGAUGUAUCAGGAUUUUUAUAGAUAAAAAACUCUAUUUAGCUAAGAAUCCCUUGGUCAUCUAGCUCCUCCUGUUCCCCACUACUUUUUAUGGAAGUCAUUAUUUCUUACUUUUUUAUAUAAAUUCAGUACACAUCCAAUAUGACUGCAUGAAUACAACCUGCUGAUAACAUUUCAUGUUUAGUCCCUAUGUUUCAAGUGACAUUUUGGGAUUUCUAAUGUCGUGUAGUAUUCAUCUCUGAAUAAGAUUGUUUCUUAAUUAAAUUUGGUUCAAUUGAUUCUUCAAUGAACACUUCUAAAUUAAAAGUUGGUUAAAUUGAUUAUUCAAUGAACACUUCCACAGUAAUUGUUAAUUUCUUGUAACUCUACUAGUAGGGAAUCCUUGUGAGAAUUCCUGCACACACUGGUGUGUCAGUUUUUGUACAGAGAACAACUGACUGUGGAGAACCCCGCCCAUGUUGUUAACAUCCAACACAACCAAAAGAUGUGGAGAAUGCUGUGGAAGAUGGGCUGGAUAGAGUGUAAGAGCCAGGGGCUAGAGCUGGAUAUUGUUUUCUAUAUGUAACAGGAAACCUUUACCUAGACUAAUCUCAGCAGUGUGGCUGCAUAAUAAUGGGUUGGGAUGGGACAAUAUCUUCUGUCUUUUUAUUUAAUCUUUGGUUAUCUGUAACAUCCAGUUCCCAACUGCCUUGUGUACAUCAGGGUCAUCUCUGCAGUUUGUCUUUUUUUAUAUCCAUAUUUUCUUUCCCCAGUAAGAACCAAAUCGAAAUGUGACAUGUAAUACCAGAUAUCUCUAUCAGCAUCAAUAAUAUAACCAUUACACAAAAAUUUAAAAGCAUAGUAAAAAUAAGGGGGAAGUGAUCCCAUAUCUUUUUAAUGUUUUAAAAUUUUUUUCCUUACCCGCCAUGGUCAGAGGGACAGUAUCAGCAAUCCACAGUACAAUGGAGCAAGAGAAUUGGUUGUCCUUGUCUGAUCAGCUGACCUGAGUCGCAAGUGUGUCUGGUAUCAAACAGCACUUACUGGUCACUGGUCACAGGUGACCUGUGAUGAUCCAAAUUUGUUUACAGGCAUUGCCAUGGCAACCCCAAGAACCUACCAGGGUUGGUAGGUUGGCUUGGUGGGAGAAUGAUGUCAUAAACGGGGCAGCAGCCAAUGUGAAGGUCGGGUUCUGAGCUAACAGAUGGGAUUGGUUGGAGAGGAUGCCAGGAGACCAACAGUAGCCAUGGAGGUUGAGGUGUCAGCUAGAGAAGGAAGGCAAUCUUGGCAGAAAAUCCCCCUUUCUGGAGGUUUAUUCCAGGGUAUUGGCAGAACUUCUAAUAACGUUCAUCUAUGAAGCUGUGUCUAUGGUUUCUAUGAGGUGUCACCUUCCAGGAAUGGUCUCCUCCAAACCUCAUUCAAGAGAUUAUUUUCGGGGAAGAAUCUAGAAGCAUGACUGCCUCUGCCAGAAAGAAAAAAGGCAGUUACCAACUGAACAGGUACAGGACUUAUGUAUGGCUUCUUAGUGGGGGAGCUUUUCCAGGGUGAAUCUUUGCAGGGUGAGAAUUGCUCAGAUUUCAAUCUCUGAGUUUGGACAAACCCAGAGAUUGGUUCGAUUUUUUUGGGUAGGUUUUCCUGCUUACUGAUUGUUUGGUUUUUGUGCUGAGUGGGUCAAGGGCAGAGUGUGUUUCUCUGACUCUGGUUUCAGGGCCAAAGUGUGUUUUUUUCACAGGCCCUUUUUACCGUUUUGACUCUAGUUUCAGGGCUAGGGUGUGUUUUUUUGGCUGGCUCAUUUGUUCUACAAAAUUUCUUUAUAUUUGAAAAAAAAAGGGCAACCCAUUUCCCACCUCAGUGUAUCUUCUUAGACAGGAAUAUGAUAUUUUGUUUAAAUAUGGGUAAAUCUUGUGUGUUUCCUCAUUUUGGUUUUGAUUGUUAUGAUUCUCUUUGGUCACUGACUGGUGGGUUCAUAGACUGUCUUAUGGCAUGGGUGUAGUGUGCAUUUAUAGACAUUUCUUACUCUAACUGCCUCAACAAGCACUACUAUGACAGUGUCUGUCAGUCCUCAUUGAAAAUGACCCUGGAGCCUGUUUAUCUCUCCUCCUGCGUUCACAUGAGCUGUCAGCACUGUCCCUUGGGACCUCUUUUACACUGAGCUAGUGCCGUAGCUAGCAGGCACAUGCCCAGCUCAGUAGACCUGUUCCUGCAUGCAGAUUGUUUCAUGUUUUGUGGUUCUUGGCAAAACCCUACAAUAAGACCGUCCUUUUUUAUAAGCCAGCAGGCUGUCUUUGUGUUUUACCCUUGCAGUUUCCUUCAUGACUGACCACUUGUCAGAUAAUGUGACACAUUCCAAGUGGCAAUGAGUGAAAGUUGGAAGGUUCAUCCAGGCUUCUGGUCAUAGACCAUUCUGAAAAACGUGUGUUCUUGUAGCAGCAUAGACCGAAGUUAGUCUGGGCCUGUGUUAUUGAGAAGUCUGAGCAUGGAGCAAAAAUGAGAGAUACAUAGAUAAGAUAGAUAGAUAGAUAGAUAGAUAGAUAGAUAGAUAGAUAGAUAGAAAGAUAAAUAGAUAGAACUGUGUUCUUUGUUUAAUUCCCAUCAUUUCUGUGCUCUUUAUUUUUAAACAUUUGUCCAUUCUAUUUUAUUCAGUGUAGUAAUGAACUUAUUAAUGCUAAAAUCCUAUAGGAAUUUUAGUUUCUAAACCCUCUACUCCUCCUAAUUCUUUUCCAAGUCCCAACUUCUCAGUUACUACUAUCUUUCUGUUGCUCUCUAGAAAAGAAAGGCUUUCAAGAGGUAACAAAUAAAUAUGGUAAAAUAAAAUUUUGGUACAGCGUCUCCAGGCAAAUAAAUGUAAGUUAAAAAAUCUGAAAGAUGGUAUCCUGCAUGGGUGAAAAAAAUGGCAUUCCCUGAAGACAUAUGCCUGCUAAAUGCUAAGUGCCAAGAGGGGGCUUAAGCCUCAGGCGAUGUUGGCCAAGAAGGUCCUUAGGACUUCCCAGAAUAUGAAAACUAUUUCAUUCCUGUUUAAGUUAUGAGCCCAAAGUAGAGUAACGCUGAA